AUUUACUUCCUGUUUGCCCCUAAUUUAUAUAGUAAUAUUUUCAGCUAUACCUUAACCAAUCAUUUUACUGAAAUUUACCUAACCAAUCCUAACAUAUUGUAACAUGAUUAGCUAACCAAUCAUAUCCCAACACCUUAAUUAGUUUAGAUCCAGCAAAAUUAAUUAUACAUCCUAACACAGAAACAAUCUCAGA